rnacentral:misc_RNA from 1 species
UACGUAGGUGGCAAGCGUUGUCCGGAUUUAUUGGGUUUAAAGGGUGCGUAGGCGGCCUGUUAAGUCAGUUCUGAAAUAUCCCGGCUCAACCGGGAGGGUGGGAUUGAUACUGAUGGGCUUGAGUGGAAUCGAGGUAGGCGGAAUUGACGGUGUAGCGGUGAAAUGCUUAGAUAUCGUCAAGAACACCGAUAGUGUAGACAGCUUACUAGACUUCAACUGACGCUGAGGCACGAAAGUGUGGGGAUCAAACAGG